CCCAAGCUCUGCUUCCCCGAAACAGGCUGGAAGACUCAAGAUCACUCCUGGCUGCGAAAUGGGCAGCAGGCUCUUCUCCUGUGUGACCUUCAGUCUCCUGUGGGCAGGACACAUAGAGGCUGGAAUCACCCAGAGCCCAAGAUACAAGGUCAUAAAGACGAAAGAAAAGGUGACUUUGAAAUGCCACCAGACCGACAACCAUGACUACAUGUACUGGUAUCGACAGGACCCAGGGCACGGACUGAGACUGAUCUAUUACUCAUACGGUGUUAAGAACCUUGAGAGAGGAGAUGUCUCCGAUGGAUACAACGUCUCCAGAGAAAACACAGAAGACUUUCCCCUCACUCUGGACUCAGUCACCCUGUCCCAGGCAUCUAUGUAUUUUUGUGCCAGCAGUUUUUCC